GAUCUGAACCUUCAGUUCUCAAACUAGUUCUGAACCUUCAGUUAGCAUACUCGAUCUGAACCUUCAGUUAGCUUACUCGAUCUGGGCAGGAUUGGAGCUGCUGGUGGGGCUUCUUGAGUCUAAAAGCCUGAAGCAGCAACAUGAUGGUUCAUUGGCUACGAAAGCCUCUCCACUCUCUCAUGUAGAUGCAGUUCCUCCAGCACCAAACUCACAGAAGUUCAGAAAAGGGGAAAGGACUUAUGGAAUGAGUUUGAUUUUGGGAAGCUUCAACUCGAUCAAACUCGAAUUGGUGGCUCUAGAGUUGUGAUUGUUUGGUGUUCUUCUUCGAACUAAAGGUGGGUCUUCAGUGUAUGAUACAGGCUCAUCUGAUCCUUAAAUAGGACAAGUGUGGAAGCCAAUUAAUGGAUGGCUGCAUUGCUGGUGAACUGCUGGAUUGAAGACUGGAAGAAUGGCUACUAAGUUGCUGUAUUAGAAUUAGGACUUUCCAUUUCAUUGCAUAUUUGUACUUGAAUUUGGACUUCGUGUUUAAAUUUGGACACUUUGUAUUUCAAUUGUAGCUUUAAUUGUUCUUGAUAAGUACUUGAAUUUGGAUAUUAUGUAUUAUGGAUAUUCAAAUUUGCAGCUUGAACUUUGGAUCUUGAUAUUGUGUUUUGAUUCAAAUCUUCA